UUCAGCACAUACAUGAAAAAAUGUUUAUUAUUCCAGACUGAGAUGUGCCGCAUAUCAGCUGCAUUGUGAGGGAGCCUGAGCACUAGUUGCCUGAGUGAUUGAGGA